UACGGGGGGGGCAAGCGUUGUUCGGAAUUACUGGGCGUAAAGGGCUCGUAGGCGGCCAACUAAGUCGGAUGUGAAAUCCCCAGGCUUAACUUGGGAACUGCAUCCGAUACUGGAUGGCUUGAAUUCGGGAGAGGGAUGCAGAAUUCCAGGUGUAGCGGUGAAAUGCGUAGAUAUCUGGAGGAAUACCGGUGGCGAAGGCGGCAUCCUGGACCGACAUUGACGCUGAGGAGCGAAAGCUAGGGGAGCAAACAGGGG
rnacentral:rRNA from 1 species